rnacentral:tRNA from 1 species
GGCAGCUUGGCCGAGUGGUUAAGGCGAUGGCCUGCUAAGCCAUUGGGGUAACCCGCGUGAGUUCGAAUCUCACAGCUGUCG